ACGAACGCUGGCGGCGUGCUUAACACAUGCAAGUCGAACGGAAAGGCCCUGCUUUUGUGGGGUGCUCGAGUGGCGAACGGGUGAGUAACACGUGAGUAACCUGCCCUUGACUUUGGGAUAACUUCAGGAUACUGGGGCUAAUACCGGAUAGGAGCUCCUGCUGCAUGGUGGGGGUUGGAAAGUUUCGGCGGUUGGGGAUGGACUCGCGGCUUAUCAGCUUGUUGGUGGGGUAGUGGCUUACCAAGGCUUUGACGGGUAGCCGGCCUGAGAGGGUGACCGGCCACAUUGGGACUGAGAUACGGCCCAGACUCCUACGGGAGGCAGCAGUGGGGAAUAUUGCACAAUGGGCGGAAGCCUGAUGCAGCAACGCCGCGUGCGGGAUGACGGCCUUCGGGUUGUAAACCGCCUUCGCCUGUGACGAAGCGUGAGUGACGGUAAUGGGUAAAGAAGCACCGGCUAACUACGUG
rnacentral:rRNA from 1 species